ACAGGAUUAUGGGCCCUGCCUGCGGACUACCUGCCAGGGAGUGCACUCUCAUAACACCAAGAAGCAUCUCCGUGUUUGUGGAUCCUACAGGCAUGAGGUGCAAUAUUCUCUGGUUCUCAAGUGCAAUAUCAUCUUGAAGCUCUUGAAUUGAAACCCCAAGCCCUACAGGAAAGUUGAGGUGACAAUAGCCAUUGAGGGGGAAGCGGAUGACAUGAGUGGAAUCGUGGUUCCAGCCGGCAUUGACGGAGUUGCACAUGACG